CGAACUGAAAGAUCGCGAGAGACGAAGCGAAGAAGAAACUGCCUGCAGUUCAGUGAACUACAAUGUAAACAGUUAUAAUUUAAUAAGGAAUUAAUCGCUAUUUGAGGAAAGAUACAGUUGUAAAACGCUUGCUAAACAUCAUGGGCAAGAUGACCUUCCCGCUAUUGAUUCAGACAGUGAGAUAGAGGAAGAGAAUUCAGCUUCAAAAGAACACACCGACUUUCUAAAUCCUGUUGCUUCACCAACCAAGAUUUCAGUCUACUCCUCUUAUGAUGAUAAAAAAAAAAAAAAAUUGAUAAUGAUGACGAUUCAGAAGAAAGCAGCGCAGACUCUUCGUUUCUGGACGUAGCUGAGACCCGCAGGCAGUCGGUCAGCGAGUGGGUCCGAUCUGCUCAGGCGAUUCUUCAGACACCUCAGAUAAGACCCCAGAGGACUCGAGUAAAAAGAGGAGGAGGUUUGAAAGUAUGAUGCAUGGGGACGUCUUGCUUAAAAAGGCUGAACCGACUCUACAGCAGUCAAAGAUCAGCCAUCAGCUUCUGGAGACAUCCGUGCAACUCAACCACAUCAGCUGGUCAGUGAGUUGAACAGAUGAGGAGUUCGUAAGUCUCUGCUGGACGCAGUGGAGGAUUGUGGGUCGUUGGGGCCUCCACCAGAAGAAUCAGCACCACCGCAACACAUCGGCAAGUACUGGACCUCUGUUUCAUUUCUCUGGUUUCAAUAACUUUGUUACUUUGGAGGAAGAAAACCCUGGAAAAGUCCUGUAUAGUGUCGCAGCUUGCAAAUCUUUUUUAAACAAACACACGCACACAAAAAAAAAAAAAAAACACUGUUUUGGUCAAAGAUCAUCUAAAAUUCUUGAAGAAAUGUGUGCUGUUUAAUAAAUGUGUUUAAAUAAAUGUAUACAUUACCGUUCAAAACUCUUCUGCUCAUCAUUGCUGCAUUUAUUUGAAUGCAUUUGUAAAAACAGUAAUAUUGCAAAAUAUUAUUGCAAUUUAUUAUUUUCAUUUUUCGUUUUCACUUUUAAGUGUUAUUCAUUCCUACAGCAUUUAUUUGAAAUAGAGAUAUUUCUCUUUACUCUCACUUCUGAUCAAUUUAAUUUCUUUAAAAAAUACUUUUUGACCCAAAACAGUAGUGAGUACAUGCACACACUAUAUAUAUACGGUAUAUAUUAUAUUUUUGGGUGUAUUGUUCUUGUAAGCCUAUAGCGCUUUUAUUCCCUCCACAAUAUAUAUCAGUGCAUUUCAAAACAGCUUUACGUAGUUUAAUUUUAAUUAAUAAAAACUUGCAUGUUUUCCCUCACAUUUCCACUUUGUAACUGUUACCAGCACAGACACUUGAGCUCUCUGUAAAUAAACACAAUGUGCAGUUUAUCAGCAACUCUUCUUAUCCAGUAACCAGGCAAACUAGUUUGACAAACCAGAUACCAGUUAGAUCUCAGCUUUUACUCUAAUUUGCUUCUAAUAAAACCUAUGUGAAUUGA